UGGGGAAUAUUGGACAAUGGGCGCAAGCCUGAUCCAGCAAUGCCGCGUGUGUGAAGAAGGCCUGCGGGUUGUAAAGCACUUUAAGCCGGAAAGAAGGGCAGAGUGAUAAUACCGCUCUGCAUUGACGUUACCGGCAGAAUAAGCACCGGCUAACUCCGUG
rnacentral:rRNA from 1 species